rnacentral:rRNA from 1 species
GUCAUUAGUUGCCAUCGAUUUGGCUGGGCACUCUAAUGAGACUGCCGGUGACAAACCGGAGGAAGUGGGGAUGACGUCAAGUCCUCAUGGCCCUUAUGGGUAGGGCUUCACACGUCAUACAAUGGUCGGUACAGAGGGUUGCCAACCCGCGAGGGGGAGCUAAUCCCACAAAGCCGAUCGUAGUCCGGAUCGCAGUCUGCAACUCGACUGCGUGAAGUCGGAAUCGCUAGUAAUCGUGGAUCAGCAUGUCACGGUGAAUACGUUCCCGGGUCUU